CAGAAACAGACUUUUGGCUUUAAUGCUGCUUUUCAUUUUCUCAGCACUAUCCAAAAUUUGCAGAGGGCUUGCUCCUAAGUUGGUGGCAGCAUGCAUCACGGGGGUCGUUCGGGCUUCUUGGUGGCAUGUUAGCACCUCUCACCUCUGGUCCAAAGCUACUGAUGUUCGCUCCAUUUUUGGAACACUACUGCAAGUUCCACACUUAACCAGCACUUGGAUGCCAUUGUUAUAGGAUAUAAAAAAAGAUUUUCAAUUCUAACAGCACCUGAUAACAUAACUGGGCAUUAAUAAAGAAAUAACUCUGUGAAUUUCCAAAGCAUGGCUGUGAUGCCCACGAGGACUGACAAAGGAUGGAGGUUGUGUAUUUAUCAGCUUACCUGGUACCUCUAGGCUGUGGAAGUAGAGUUAACCACAUCUGACAAUUCCCUGGGCCUGCCACCUUGAAAAGUACAGGAUUUUUGACAUUUUUGAACUGAAAGUUACAAUAUUUCAAAACAUACUCUGAGUCUUUAUUUUUUAUUUAUUUAUUUUGAGACAGAGUCUCAUGUGUCGCCCAGGCUGGAGUGCAGUGGUGAUCUUGGCUCACUGCAACCUCCGCCUCCCGGGUUCAAGCAAUUUUCCUUUCUCAGCCUCCCGAGUAGCUGGGAUUACAGGCAUCAGCCACCAUGCCCAGCUAAUUUUUGUAUUUUUUGUAGAGACGAGGUUUUGCCGUGUUGGCCAGGCUGGUCUCAAAUUCCUGGCCUCAAGUAAUCUGCCCGCCUCGGCCUCCCAAAGUGCUGGGAUUACAGGCAGGAGCCACCGCGCCUGGCCUCUGAAUCUUUAUUAAUAUAUAUACAUUACAUAACUGCAAGUUUUUAAAAAGUAGGACUGUCAUGUGAAGUAACUCUGGCAGGAUGCACUGAAGCUGAGCCCAGCGCAGUAACAGGCCCUCAGUGAGGAAAGGCAGAGCGUGAAGUGGUUGAGUGUCCAAGCUCUGGAGGCACAGGGCCGGGGUUAAAAUCCCAGCUCUGCCACUUCCUAGUUCUGUGAAGUUAAGGCAAGUCAUGCAAACUCUCUGUGCCUCAGUUUAUUCAUCUGUAAAUUGAGGCUAACUACUACUCAUAGAUGUUUUGUAAGGAUUAAAUGAAUCUAAUACAUGUAAGCAACUUAGAGUAGAUAUAUUUUAUUUGCAAAGAGAUUUGAACAGUGUCUGGUAUAUAACAAGCCGAUUUACAUGUGGGGUUUUUUCUUCUUUUUUUUUUUAAAUGGGCCUGAGAGGCACCUCAGGAGUGGAAUCCACAUGACUUUUUGCUCACAGGGCAUGGAUAGAAACUGAAACCCAGGGAGAGCCAGGGAAGCAUUUAAUAGAAAUUGAGGAGGGAGAUUAGUGGGUAGCCUGGCUAGGGCGGGAAGCCCCCAGACACUGUCUCAGUAGCAAGGAGAGGGGCUAGGACAGGGCUUUUACCUCCUGAGGAUGCAAACCCAGCUGCAGGUUGUCUGCCACCCCUCUCUCUACACACACACACAAGAUACUAGUCAGGACAUUGGAGCUUCUGAUGCACAGACACCAUGACCCGAAAUCACAGAGCUGGUGGGAGGACAGACUUCGGACCCUAAACUCCCAAGACUCCUAAAAUAUUCCCUGGGCAACCUCCAAAAUCUUUCCACAAGAAAAACAUGGCAAAUUGAACCCCAAGGGCCUCUCUGGAAGCCCUAAUGUAUAACUUCUGUCUCAAUUAACCAGGGCACGACUAUUGCUCCUUUCAGGAGCAAAUUAAACAGCUCAACACUGCGAUUGCACCUGUGUAACUCUCCUAGCUGUUCCCUAUCCAUGCCAACACUGCAUGUAUAUAUAUAUACACAUAUAUAUUUGAUUCACUCUGAGAGGGACACUUAAUAAUGACAUUUCCUAUCCCCCCUCCAAUUAUCAAAAUAAACCCUACCAGUCCUUCAGAGACAACCAACAGCCCACAAGAUCCCCCUUGUUUGAGCGCUGAGCCUCUCAAAGGUGAUCCUGGCCACUUCUACUUUCUGAAACAGGUGCCCCCAAUAAAGAAAUACUAGAUCAGAAUUACAAAAGUUGAAGAUUAUUUUAAGUGAUUACAUAUAACAAAUUAAAUACAAUGUAACAUAAUUAGGUGGUGCUAGUUCCAAAAUAAGCAUGGGACUUAUAAAAUUUAUGAAUUCAUAGUGUAACUGGGGCAGUCUGGUCCAAUCAUCAUGCACAGUUUACAGGCGGAGAACAACUUCAUUCUGUCCCAUCGCUGUCUCUCUUCAACCUUUGUGUGUAAUUUCAUUUGGAGAUAAUAUCAAAAGUUGCAAAGUCUUUCAUGAAUGUGAUAUCUGGGCCAAAUAGUCCCUGCCUUCAACACUGCAUUCCCCAUUGGAGGCCCUGUUUGAGCUCCUAACAUUUAACUCAGUCUUACCAUCUUAGACACAUCUAGUAGUCAUUGGUCUUGUUUGUGGCUGCCCACCAUCUUUUGAACAACUCUCCCGUGUUUGGGGAAUUUCCUUCCACCCAGCUAGGAAUUCCAUCUCUCCUAGGUAUUAACAGCAGGAUGAACUCACUUUUUCAGCUGAUCUUGCAACCAUGCUUCAGGCAUAAGGCUGAGGUUCCCCUAAUUAGAUGCACCCCAGUGAAGAGAUUUGGAAAGAGAGCCAUGUGAGGAAGGUAGAUUAUAUGGAUUUGAUCCUUUGGAAAUGGUGGCAGCAGAGGAAUGGCUUUGGGACAGCACCAGUGGUAGAGCUUCUGGUUCCUGCUGUCCAGUGUCAUGGGCAUUAUCUACAUUGGCGGUGGACACUGAGUAGUACUGCAGUGUAGAUUGUGUAUUGCUCCCUGAUGCAUAGCCUUUAGGCUUGAUCCUAGAGAUCUGUGGGAUACCUAAAAUUCUGUAAUUCCUUUUCCACUUGAGCUAUAGUGCGUUCUGUUUGCAAUAAAGCACACUGACUGCCACACCUUUUGAUGGGUAUCUGCCUAUCUCAUAGCCCUCUUCUCUUCCCUGAGACCAGCCUCUCGUACCCAUGGUGCCAGGCAGGAGAGGAAGCUGCUGCCAUGUCUGUUCUUUCCAGCCUGGCCCACAGCCAUAGCUGAUUGACCAGGUUAGAUAGACACCUGACUCAUGACACCAAACAGCUCUCCCCUGGAAAUCUGGAAUGAGAAUUCAGAGAUGCUGGUGAGUCUCUGUUGUUGCUCAAAUUGAGGAUCCAGAGCCUGAGUUUUGGUGGGGCAGGAGGGGAAAGGAGUGUUCUGUUGACCUGUGUAUACCAAGGCAGAAAAAGCUGGUCUGCAGAGAGAAAAAUAAAGCAAAUAUAUUGUGGACACAAUAAUCCUUUGUCAGGCCAAGUGACACUUCCCACUGGAAGACCUUAAGACUUAUUCCUGUAGCUUCAUAUCACAUUUCUCUUUCAGGCUUAAGCCAGUAGAAUUUUGUUACUUUAAACUAUAAGAAUAUUUUCUAAAAUAGCCACUAAUUUGGUAAUUAUCACGUACCUCUUGAGAUUUCCCAAGAUGGUUGUCUUGUAUUGCUAUUUUUUUCUAUAAUGUUUAUAUAAAUAUAAUAUUAUAUAUAAUAUACACUUAUACUUUUAUUAUAUGAGUCUUAUACAUAUAAUAGCUUUGUUUUAUACAUAAUCAUGUGAGUUUGUGGGGUGGGGAGGCUACACUUAGCAUAUCUCUGCCAUACAUACCCUCUCACCUUCUUGAAGUAAUUAUAUCAAUUUUUUUUUUUUUGAGAUGGAGUCUCACUCUGUCACCCAGGCUGGAGUGCAAUGGUACAAUCUCGGCUCACUGCAACCUCUGCCUCCCAGGUUCAAGCAAUUCCGGUGCCUCAGGCUCUGAAGUAGCUGGGACUAGAGGCGCCUGCCACCACACCUGGCUAUUUUUUAUAUUUUUAGUAGAGACAGGGUUUCACCAUAUUGGCCAGGCUGGUCUUGAACUCCUGGUCUCGUGAUCUGCCCGCCUCAGCCUCCCAAAGUGCUGGGAUUACAGGAGUGAGCCACCAAGCCCAACUCAAUUUUUUAAAUUACUUCAAAUACAUGAUCACUUGUAAACAUGUUUAGCUCUGAAGUGUGGAACUUAGAGGGCCAGGAGGAAAAGCAUGACACUUGACUUUUACUUUUCAUUUUAUAUCAUGUUAUAUGAUUUAAGUCAUUUUAAAAUGAGAAUAUAUUCUCUUUAUAAUUAAGAAAAAGCUAAUACCUCCUAAUGAAUGAAUGAAUCAAGGCAGUGAUAUCAUAAAAUAGAGAGGCAACCAGGAGGUGCUUGUGCCUCCUACAACACAGCACCUAUGACGUGGUCUGCCAAGAGGUCAACUCUGAACCUGAUCAAGACUUUGGAUCUAGCUACAAAUUUACAGAAAAUGCAGAGAUAGAGGGACAAAUUAAAGGACAUUAUAGGGAUGCAAUCAGUAAAAUGUAGACUGAGAGAAAUUCUACAGAAGACUGGUUUCUUCUUGAAAUAAAUUGCAAGGAACAAAAAAGAAACCAAGAAGGAACCCACAGACUAAAGGAGAUUCAGGAGACAUAUCAAUCCAUUGUACUACAUGGCCUGUAUUUGAAGGCUAAUUUGAACAAAUAAACUGUAAAAACAAAAUAAACUUUAAAAAGGUAAUUAGGGAAAUUUGUAAACUGAUUGGAUAUUUGAUAUUACCAAAAAUACUGUACUGCUAAAUUUUCAGGUGUGACAAUGGCAUUAAGGUCAUGUAUGUUAAAAGUUCUCUUUUAGAAAUAUAUGCUAAAAUAUUUAUGGGUAAAAGGGCAUAAUGUCUGGGAUUUGUUUCAAGAUAACUGAGGAGGAAAAUAAUAGCAGGAAUGGAGUUGAAAUGAGACUUGCCAUGAGUUGAUAAAUUUUGAAGCUGGGUGAUGGGUAUAUGGAAUUCAUUCAACUAUCUUGGCUGCUUCUAUAGAUGUUUGAAAUAUUUCAUGAUUAAAAACUUUUUUAAAAGCAAAUUAAAAUAAAUAAAAUUUAAAAUAAAUAAGCCUGAACAAAAUCAAACUCCAUCUGGCUUCACUGUGAAUCCCCUUGCAGAGCUGGUUGGCAGGGUUAGGCAGGCACUUUCCACUGUAGAUCAAAGUACGGAAAGCAAUCACUUCUCCUGGAAGGGAAGAUGGAGGGUGAAGCUGCUUGUGAGUGGAAGCUGAGAAGCUGCAGUGCACUCUGGCCAUCUGGUCUCCCUCAGCUCACAGGUGCUCUGGUUUCUAGGGCUGCACUGGGAAAUGUGGUGCCAGCACCAUGACUACAAUACAUCUCCACUCCAUCUCAGCUAGCUUGCUCUACCACCCAUCUGCAGCCAGCUUUCUCUGGCAUAAACCAUCCACAUGGACCUCUGUAGCCAAGGGGCUGUUCAGAGGUGUGUGGGAAUAAUGGAUCAUCUGGAGCCAGAUUCAGGUUCAGGUGCCCCAGUAGUCCAGGAGUGGCGGUAGGAGGCCACAUCAAGGCAGUGGAAUGGAGAGGAGGGGUGUUUGCAAGCAGCAAUGCUAAGGGAGAAUCCAAAGGACUUAUUGAAUGAUCACAUAUAGAGAGAGAGAGAGAUGGGAAAGCAGAAGAAUCCAGA
rnacentral:lncRNA from 1 species